rnacentral:rRNA from 1 species
AAUUCGAAGCAACGCGAAGAACCUUACCAGGUCUUGACUAUACCAUUGACAGGCGCAGAGAUGUGCUCGUCCUUCGGGCAAUGGAUACAGGUGGUGCAUGGUUGUCGUCAGCUCGUGCCGUGAGGUGUUGGGUUAAAGUCCCGCAACGAGCGCAACCCUCAUUGUUAGUUACUACCAUUCAGUUGAGGACUCUAAUGAGACUGCCAACGAUAAGUUGGAGGAAGGUGGGAUGACGUCAAAUCAUCAUGCCCUUUAUGACCUGGGCUACAAACGUACUACAAUGGCCAAUACAAAGAGAUGCGAAGCGGUGACGUGGAGCGAACCUCAGAAAGUUGGUCUCAGUUCAGAUUGAAGUCUGCAACUCGACUUCAUGAAGGCGGAAUCGCUAGUAAUCGCGGGUCAGCAGACCGCGGUGAAUACGUUCCCGGGUUUU